rfam:Triticum urartu cultivar G1812 contig115839, whole genome shotgun sequence.
AUUAUACUCCCUCCGUCCGAAAAUACUUGUCAUCAAAAUGGACAACCAUCAAAAUGGAUAAAAGGGAUGUAAAUGGACAAAAAGGGAUGUAUCUAAAACUAAAAUACAUCUAGAUACAUCCCUUUUAUCCAUUUUGAUGGCAAGUAUUUCCGGACGGAGGGAGUAUAUA